rnacentral:pre_miRNA from 1 species
AAAAAGACAAACUAUGGGUUUUCGUGUCCAACUUUGACUGUCCGUCUUAUAUGAAUUUUGUUUAUAAUUUGUAUUUUUAUUAUUGUUAGAUGAUAAAACAUGAUUAAUAUUUUAUACGUGACUUGUGUUUUUAAUUUUUUCAAACAAGACGGACGGUCAAACGUUAGACACGGAAACCAAAGUUUGUCUUUUUU